rnacentral:rRNA from 1 species
GCUUGGGCGUGCCUCCACCCACGCCGGCGUCGGCGGGCGUAUUUCGCCUCACAGUAGGUCGCCGCGACCCGUUGCUUUUGGGGACGUCGAAGGCCCGGACGGAUUGGUACCCUACCGGCUGGGGAUGCGGCUUCGGCUUCUCCUCUUGUCCGGUGGGCGAAACCGCCGGUGUCCUGGCUGCCCUGCGACGGUCGUAGAGACGAGCCCUCCCCUUCGGGGGGGCGGCUCUCGCGGCGUGCAAAAGGUCGGUGAUCCACCCGACCCGUCUUGAAACACGGACCAAGGAGUCUAACAUGUGUGCGAGUCAGUGGGCGCACUAAACCCAGAGGCGUAAUGAAAGUGACACGGGUUCGGCUGUCGCCUCGUGUGGCAGCCGGACUCAGGGCCGAUCCCUCACCGGUUGCCCUCGCCUCUCUCCCGCGUCUCGGUAAGCCGGGUGAGCUAUUUUCCCCGGCCGCUGCUGCGGGGCGCGGGGGGAGGCGGGGUGCGAUGGUGUCCGUAAAAAAGAGCCUGCUGUUGCAGGGGGGCGCAGGCCCGGGACUUGCCAGGACGCCGCGAGACUGUCACUUUGCUGUGAGGCUCUCGGGCCGAUCAGCGGGUCAUGCGUGCAGUCGGCAAGUACCAUGAGCAGACAUGUUGGGACCCGAAAGAUGGUGAACUAUGCCUGGCCAGGAUGAAGCCAGAGGAAACUCUGGUGGAGGUCCGUAGCGAUUCUGACGUGCAAAUCG